CGGCAACAGCUCAAAUUUGAAAUCUGGCUUCGGCCCGAGUUGUAAUUUGUAGAGGAUGCUUUGGGCGCGGCUCUAACUGAGUUCCCUGGAACGGGACGCCACAGAGGGUGAGAGCCCCGUAUAGUUAGAUGCCUAGCCUAUGUAAAGCUCCUUCGAC
rnacentral:rRNA from 1 species